AUUUAAAUAGUUUAAUAUAAAAUAUUGAUUUGUGGUUUCAAUGAUACUGUUUAGUUUUAAAUU
rnacentral:tRNA from 1 species